GAUGAACGCUGGCGGCGUGCCUAAUACAUGCAAGUCGAGCGAACGGACGAGAAGCUUGCUUCUCUGAUGUUAGCGGCGGACGGGUGAGUAACACGUGGAUAACCUACCUAUAAGACUGGGAUAACUUCGGGAAACCGGAGCUAAUACCGGAUAAUAUUUUGAACCGCAUGGUUCAAAAGUGAAAGACGGUCUUGCUGUCACUUAUAGAUGGAUCCGCGCUGCAUUAGCUAGUUGGUAAGGUAACGGCUUACCAAGGCAACGAUGCAUAGCCGACCUGAGAGGGUGAUCGGCCACACUGGAACUGAGACACGGUCCAGACUCCUACGGGAGGCAGCAGUAGGGAAUCUUCCGCAAUGGGCGAAAGCCUGACGGAGCAACGCCGCGUGAGUGAUGAAGGUCUUCGGAUCGUAAAACUCUGUUAUUAGGGAAGAACAUAUGUGUAAGUAACUGUGCACAUCUUGACGGUACCUAAUCAGAAAGCCACGGCUAACUACGUGCCAGCAGCCGCGGUAAUACGUAGGUGGCAAGCGUUAUCCGGAAUUAUUGGGCGUAAAGCGCGCGUAGGCGGUUUUUUAAGUCUGAUGUGAAAGCCCACGGCUCACCCGUGGAGGGUCAUUGGAAACUGGAAAACUUGAGUGCAGAAGAGGAAAGUGGAAUUCCAUGUGUAGCGGUGAAAUGCGCAGAGAUAUGGAGGAACACCAGUGGCGAAGGCGACUUUCUGGUCCGUAACUGACGCUGAUGUGCGAAAGCGUGGGGAUCAAACAGGAUUAGAUACCCUGGUAGUCCACGCCGUAAACGAUGAGUGCUAAGUGUUAGGGGGUUUCCGCCCCUUAGUGCUGCAGCUAACGCAUUAAGCACUCCGCCUGGGGAGUACGACCGCAAGGUUGAAACUCAAAGGAAUUGACGGGGACCCGCACAAGCGGUGGAGCAUGUGGUUUAAUUCGAAGCAACGCGAAGAACCUUACCAAAUCUUGACAUCCUUUGACAACUCUAGAGAUAGAGCUUUCCCCUUCGGGGGACAAAGUGACAGGUGGUGCAUGGUUGUCGUCAGCUCGUGUCGUGAGAUGUUGGGUUAAGUCCCGCAACGAGCGCAACCCUUAAGCUUAGUUGCCAUCAUUAAGUUGGGCACUCUAAGCUGACUGCCGGUGACAAACCGGAGGAAGGUGGGGAUGACGCCAAAUCAUCAUGCCCCUUAUGAUUUGGGCUACACACGUGCUACAAUGGACAAUACAAAGGGCAGCGAAACCGCGAGGUCAAGCAAAUCCCAUAAAGUUGUUCUCAGUUCGGAUUGUAGUCUGCAACUCGACUACAUGAAGCUGGAAUCGCUAGUAAUCGUAGAUCAGCAUGCUACGGUGAAUACGUUCCCGGGUCU
rnacentral:rRNA from 1 species